rnacentral:rRNA from 1 species
AUUGAACGCUGGCGGCAGGCUUAACACAUGCAAGUCGAGCGGGGGAGGUUGCUUCGGUAACUGACCUAGCGGCGGACGGGUGAGUAAUGCUUAGGAAUCUGCCUAUUAGUGGGGGACAACAUUCCGAAAGGAAUGCUAAUACCGCAUACGCCCUACGGGGGAAAGCAGGGGAUCUUCGGACCUUGCGCUAAUAGAUGAGCCUAAGUCGGAUUAGCUAGUUGGUGGGGUAAGGGCUUACCAAGGCGACGAUCUUUAGCGGGUCUGAGAGGAGGAGACGCCACCCUGGGAGUGAGACACGGCCCAGAGUCCUACGGGAGGCAGCAGUGGGGAAUAUUGGACAAUGGGGGGAACCCUGAUCCAGCCAUGCCGCGUGUGUGAAGAAGGCCUUUUGGUUGUAAAGCACUUUAAGCGAGGAGGAGGCUACCGAGACUAAUACUCUUGGAUAGUGGACGUUACUCGCAGAAUAAGCACCGGCUAACUCUGUGCCAGCAGCCGCGGUAAUAC